rnacentral:tRNA from 2 species
GGUUGAGUAGCCAAGUGGAUUAAGGCGCCAGUCUGCAAAACUGGAAAUCGUGAGUUCAAUCCUCACCUCAGCCU